CAAGUCGAACGCGAAAGUCCCCUUCGGGGAGCGAGUAGAGUGGCGUCCGGGUGAGUAACACGAUAGGUAAUCUACCUUUGGGUGGGGAAUAACGCAGGGAAACUUGCGCUAAUACCGCAUAAUGCAGCGGCACCACAUGGUGACAGUUGUUAAAGCGGGGGAUUUUCGAACCUCGCGCCUAAAGAGGAGCCUGCGGCAGAUUAGCUAGUUGGUAAGGUAACGGCUUACCAAGGCGACGAUCUGUAGCCGGCCUGAGAGGGCGGUCGGCCACACUGACACUGACAUACGGGUCAGACUCCUACGGGAGGCAGCAGUCGGGAAUUUUGGGCAAUGGGCGAAAGCCUGACCCAGCAACGCCGCGUGAAGGAUGAAAUCCUUCGGGAUGUAAACUUCGCAAGAAUGGGAAGAAUUAGUAGGGGCUAAUACCCCCUAUGAUGACGGUACCAUUUGUAAGCUCCGGCUAACUCCGUGCCAGCAGCCGCGGUAAUACGGGGGGAGCAAGCGUUGUUCGGAUUUACUGGGCGUAAAGGGCGCGUAGGCGGCCACUGCGAGUCGGUUGUGAAAUCUCCGGGCUUAACUCGGAACGGUCAACCGAUACUGCAGGGCUAGAGUGCGGAAGGGGCAACUGGAAUUCUCGGUGUAGCGGUGAAAUGCGUAGAUAUCGAGAGGAACACCUGCGGCGAAGGCGGGUUGCUGGGCCGACACUGACGCUGAUGCGCGAAAGCCAGGGGAGCGAACGGGAUUAGAUACCCCGGUAGUCCUGGCCUUAAACGAUGGAUGCUUGGUGUCUGGAGUUUUAUAGUCUCCGGGUACCGCA
rnacentral:rRNA from 1 species